UUUAUAUAUGUAUAUAUAUACUGUUUUUUUAUUUUCAUAUUUUUUUUUCUUUUCGUUUUUGAUUAAUAUUUGGGACCUUUUUGCAACUGGCGCUGGCUAUGCGGUCUUG